GUCAGGUUGCCAAACUUUUCCAGGACUCGAGUCUGGGAAGCACCGUUAACAUCCUCGUAACUCGCCUCAUCCUGCUCACGGAGGACCAGCCCACUCUGGAGAUCACCCACCAUGCCGGGAAGUCCCUGGACAGCUUCUGUAAGUGGCAGAAAUCCAUCGUGAACCACAGCGGCCAUGGCAAUGCCAUUCCAGAGAACGGUGUGGCUAACCAUGACACAGCAGUGCUCAUCACACGCUAUGACAUCUGCAUCUACAAGAACAAACCCUGCGGCACACUAGGCCUGGCCCCGGUGGGCGGAAUGUGUGAGCGCGAGAGAAGCUGCAGCGUCAAUGAGGACAUUGGCCUGGCCACAGCGUUCACCAUUGCCCACGAGAUCGGGCACACGUGAGGCCGGGGCACACAGGAGGGGGAGGACGGGAAGAGCUGGGCGGGUCCCUCAGCACCCGGCAGAGCCGACACCCCUUUCCCCAGAUUCGGCAUGAAUCAUGACGGCGUUGGAAACAGCUGUGGGGCCCGUGGUCAGGACCCAGCCAAGCUCAUGGCUGCCCACAUUACCAUGAAGACCAACCCAUUCGUGUGGUCAUCCUGCAGCCGUGACUACAUCACCAGCUUUCUAGACUCGGGCCUGGGGCUCUGCCUGAACAACCGGCCCCCCAGACAGGACUUUGUGUACCCGACAGUGGCGCCGGGCCAAGCCUACGAUGCAGAUGAGCAAUGCCGCUUUCAGCAUGGAGUCAAAUCGCGUCAGUGUAAAUACGGGGAGGUCUGCAGCGAGCUGUGGUGCCUGAGCAAGAGCAACCGGUGCAUCACCAACAGCAUCCCGGCCGCCGAGGGCACGCUGUGCCAGACGCACACCAUCGACAAGGGGUGGUGCUACAAGCGGGUCUGUGUCCCCUUUGGGUCGCGCCCAGAGGGUGUGGACGGAGCCUGGGGGCCGUGGACUCCGUGGGGCGACUGCAGCCGGACCUGUGGCGGCGGCGUGUCCUCUUCUAGCCGUCACUGCGACAGCCCCAGGCCAACCAUCGGGGGCAAGUACUGUCUGGGUGAGAGAAGGCGGCACCGCUCCUGCAACACGGAU
rnacentral:sRNA from 1 species